UUUUUCGGGUUGCUAUGGUUGAAUGGUUGGCCUUUGGUUCAACGCCCUUAAAAAGGGGUUUUUAGCAAAUUUUUACUUGUGUAGUUUCGGUAUUUGAUGUCCUCCACCAUAAGAAUUCUCAGUUUAUGCUCUAUUUGUAUUAACAUGAGACCUUUAUUAUUAUUAUUAUUAUUAUUAUUUUGGGAUUUAAUUAAAGUUUCUAGGUUAUCUCAAGCUUUGGUUUCAUGUUUAGUCUCUAUUUAUUUUGUAUUUUAGUUUGACUGAAUCUUCUUUAAUAGUAGCAUCUUGAUUUUUGAGGGGUUUUAUUUGAUUCUUUGUUUGGUUGCAGACCCCAGCUUCUUUUCCAAUUUCCUCCUUCAGUAACCCAUGGAUUAUUUUCUGCUUUCUGUUAUGCACAACGAAAGACCAAAUCUAUAUAGUUUAGAAGCUGUCUGCAAAUUCUAGCAAUAGCAAAGUGAAAAGGUAGAGUUAUUUAAGAUAGAAAUUAUGAGAAAAUUUUACUAAUGAUAGAAGAUUUUCUGUUGUGAUUAUUUAAUGCAAAUUGUUGGUAUGGGUUGCAGGGAUAAGAAAGCUAUGAGUAAUGGACACAGACAUGAGUUAUUAAAACACUAAACAAUUGUAUCUUUUUGGUGGUUUGCUUAUUUAGUUUCAGUGGGUAACUACUUAUUAUUGUUUAUAUACACUGUUUACUUUUUGUUUUCUUCUUUACAUUUUUCCGUUUUCUGUUUUUUUUUUCCCUCUGAGAGAACAAACCCAAUGAAGGUUGUGGACAAAAAACAGAGUACCCUUAACGCUACUGCUAUUGUACUUGCAGCAUGCAAUGAGAAUUACUAUAGCUCACAAUCGAAUGAGUUUUAUCAUGGUUAACAAAUGAGUUUCUUUUGGAACAUCUGACUCCUCCUGCCAACGGUUUGAAGCCAUGUCAUAUCAUGUACAACAAUGAAGAUGACAAUGGGAGAGAUAUUUUCCAAAGAUUAUAUUGAAAUUUUAUUGUUUAAUAGAUUGUGCUGAUUUUUUUUUCGACCCAAUUCUUUUUAUGUAAAUAAUUAUAUUAGAGGGUACUUGUGUCUGUUUUGUAUUCUAUAUUUGAUUGAAUUGUAGUUUAGAUGAGUCUUUGGGUUUGGAACAA